rnacentral:rRNA from 1 species
AGAGUUUGAUCCUGGCUCAGGACGAACGCUGGCGGCACGCUUAACACAUGCAAGUCGAACGAGAGAAGAGAAGCUUGCUUUUCUGAUCUAGUGGCGGACGGGUGAGUAACACGUGAGCAAUCUGCCUUUCAGAGGGGGAUACCGAUUGGAAACGAUCGUUAAUACCGCAUAACAUAAUUGAACCGCAUGAUUUGAUUAUCAAAGAUUUAUCGCUGAAAGAUGAGCUCGCGUCUGAUUAGCUAGUUGGUAAGGUAACGGCUUACCAAGGCGACGAUCAGUAGCCGGACUGAGAGGUUGAUCGGCCACAUUGGGACUGAGACACGGCCCAGACUCCUACGGGAGGCAGCAGUGGGGAAUAUUGCACAAUGGGGGAAACCCUGAUGCAGCGACGCCGCGUGAGUGAAGAAGUAUUUCGGUAUGUAAAGCUCUAUCAGCAGGGAAGAAAAUGACGGUACCUGACUAAGAAGCCCCGGCUAACUACGUGCCAGCAGCCGCGGUAAUACGUAGGGGGCAAGCGUUAUCCGGAUUUACUGGGUGUAAAGGGAGCGUAGACGGUAAAGCAAGUCUGAAGUGAAAGCCCGGGGCUCAACCCCGGGACUGCUUUGGAAACUGUUUAACUAGAGUGCUGGAGAGGUAAGCGGAAUUCCUAGUGUAGCGGUGAAAUGCGUAGAUAUUAGGAGGAACACCAGUGGCGAAGGCGGCUUACUGGACGGUAACUGACGUUGAGGCUCGAAAGCGUGGGGAGCAAACAGGAUUAGAUACCCUGGUAGUCCACGCCGUAAACGAUGAUUACUAGGUGUGGGGGGACUGACCCCUUCCGUGCCGCAGCAAACGCAAUAAGUAAUCCACCUGGGGAGUACGACCGCAAGGUUGAAACUCAAAGGAAUUGACGGGGGCCCGCACAAGCAGUGGAGUAUGUGGUUUAAUUCGACGCAACGCGAAGAACCUUACCAAGUCUUGACAUCCUGCGACGCACAUAGAAAUAUGUGUUUCCUUCGGGACGCAGAGACAGGUGGUGCAUGGUUGUCGUCAGCUCGUGUCGUGAGAUGUUGGGUUAAGU